rfam:Candidatus Margulisbacteria bacterium GWF2_35_9 gwf2_scaffold_8489, whole genome shotgun sequence.
GAAGUAGAAAAGAAUUAGCCUAAGACAGUAGGUGUUUGAAAAAACUUAAUACCCUACAGAGGCAAAUAGUGACGAUUAUGACUGUUUGUUCUCAAUUUAGGCAGAUUUUUUACGGUGUUGUAGUUAUUAAACACCAUUUUUUUUUGGCUUG